ensembl:snoRNA
UUAUUAAAAGUCAGAUCACCAAUUGGAAUUAUGUCUUUACUGGUCAUUCAAGUGGGGCAAAGGAAAUAUCCUUUUUAAAACUCAGGCAAACUAGUGUUUGUCUUGUAUCCCGUCAAAGCAAACAAAU